rnacentral:pre_miRNA from 13 species
GGUGGGACAGCUGGUGUUGUGAAUCAGGCCGCCGCAGUCCAAGGAUCGGCUACUUCCCAACACCAGGGUCUCACCA